rnacentral:lncRNA from 10 species
CCCGCAGCACCUGGGAGGGCGCGUGUGACUCGUCUCCCAGGUCGUUUGGGCUGGAGUAGGCGGAGGAACGCACCGCGAGCACCAACGUCCCGCCCCUGUCUUGGCGGUCCUCAGAAUGAAAUCCAGAUUCACUAAAGAGUUCCUCAGUCCUCUAGGACCUGGCCCUUUUUUCUCAUUGAUCAUACUGCCUGCUCCUAUUCUGAGGGUAACAGGAACCUCGAGGAGGAAUGUCCCCAUUUCCCAGGAGGAUAUUCUGUUUCCCUAUAACGUUUUGAAGAGUCUCAGUAGAAGCAGCCUGUUUUUGACAAAAAGAUCGUCAGAGUACAGCUCAGCACAUUCUCACAGACAGAAUCGCCCUGGUCCAGACAUCGUCAGCAUCCUGGAAGCUGCCAUGCCACCUAUCACUACCCCCACCAAGGGAGCCACUACGCUGACUUCUAAAUACAGAUUAUUUUUGUCUGUUGUUGU